rnacentral:rRNA from 1 species
CCCGUGUUGCUCCGUAGCCGAGCAACCUUCGGCGUUCGAUUGCAGGCCAAGCAUGGACCAGCAGACCCAAGCCGGGCCGGCCGUUUUCACUCACGGAUAUCUGCAGAAUUCAGGGGCAUGCGUCCCAUUAGAUAGUUGGCGGGGCGACGGCCCACCAAGUCGACGAUGGGUAGGGGAUCUGAGAGGACGGUCCCCCACACUGGUACUGAGACACGGACCAUACUCCUGCGGGAGGCAGCAGUAAGGGAUAUUGGUCAAUGGUCGGAAGACUGAACCAGCCAUGCCGCGUGAGGUAUGAAGGCCCUACGGGUCGUAAGCCUCUUUUACCCGGGGACAAGGGCGCCCACGCGAUGGGUGCUUGAGGGUACCGGGGGAAUAAGCGUCGGCUAACUCCGUGCCAGCAGCCGCGGUAAUACGGAGGACGCGAGCGUUAUCCGGAUUCAUUGGGUUUAAAGGGUGCGCAGGCGGCCUGUCAAGUCAGCGGUGAAAGCCCGGGGCCCAACCCCGGAAGUGCCGUUGAUACUGUCGGGCUGGAAUGCGGUCGAGGCGGGCGGAACGUGGCGUGUAGCGGUGAAAUGCGUAGAUAUUAGAAGGAACACCAGUGGCGAAGGCGGUUUGCUGGGCCGAAACUGACGCUGAGACACGAAAGCGUGGGGAGCAAAUA